UACGUAGGCAGCAAGCGUUGUUCGGAGUUACUGGGCGUAAAGAGUGCGUAGGCGGUUCCCUAAGUUCGGUGUGAAAUCUCCCGGCUCAACUGGGAGGGUGCGCCGGAAACUGGGGGGCUUGAGUGUGGGAGAGGAAAGCGGAAUUCCUGGUGUAGCGGUGAAAUGCGUAGAUAUCGGGAGGAACACCUGCGGCGAAAGCGGCUCACUGGACCACAACUGACGCUGAGGCGCGAAAGCUAGGGGAGCAAACAGG
rnacentral:rRNA from 1 species